UUCCUUUUGUAAUUCAUAAGCAUGAUGAUUGGGUUUUCAUGUUCAUGUUAGUCAUGCCUUCCUGAAACCUUGUUAGGACACUAGCAUAUUACCAAUGUGAUG
ensembl:snoRNA